GACGAACGCUGGCGGCGUGCCUAAUACAUGCAAGUAGAACGCUGAAGGAGGAGCUUGCUUCUCCGGAUGAGUUGCGAACGGGUGAGUAACGCGUAGGUAACCUGCCUGGUAGCGGGGGAUAACUAUUGGAAACGAUAGCUAAUACCGCAUAACAGUAGAUGUUGCAUGACAUUUGCUUAAAAGGUGCAAUUGCAUCACUACCAGAUGGACCUGCGUUGUAUUAGCUAGUUGGUGAGGUAACGGCUCACCAAGGCGACGAUACAUAGCCGACCUGAGAGGGUGAUCGGCCAGACUGGGACGGAGACACGGCCCAGACUCCUACGGGAGGCAGCGGUAGGGAAUCUUCGGCAAUGGACGGAAGUCUGACCGAGCAACGCCGCGUGAGUGAAGAAGGUUUUCGGAUCGUAAAGCUCUGUUGUAAGAGAAGAACGAGUGUGAGAGUGGAAAGUUCACACUGUGACGGUAUCUUACCAGAAAGGGACGGCUAACUACGUG
rnacentral:rRNA from 1 species